rnacentral:rRNA from 1 species
GGAGGAAAGUAGGGGAUCGCAAGACCUUGCGCUUUUGGAGCGGCCGAUGUCUGACUAGCUAGUUGGUGAGGUAAAGGCUUACCAAGGCGUCGAUCAGUAGCUGGUCUGAGAGGACGACCAGCCACACUGGGACUGAGACACGGCCCAGACUCCUACGGGAGGCAGCAGUGGGGAAUUUUGGACAAUGGGGGAAACCCUGAUCCAGCCAUGCCGCGUGAGUGAAGAAGGCCUUCGGGUUGUAAAGCUCUUUCAGCCGGAACGAAACGGUCACGGUUAAUACCCGUGACUACUGACGGUACCGGAAGAAGAAGCACCGGCUAACUACGUGCCAGCAGCCGCGGUAAUACGUAGGGUGCGAGCGUUAAUCGGAAUUACUGGGCGUAAAGCGUGCGCAGGCGGUUUUGUAAGUCAGAUGUGAAAUCCCCGGGCUUAACCUGGGAACUGCGUUUGAAACUACAAAGCUAG